rnacentral:rRNA from 1 species
AUGAACGCUAGCGGCAGGCCUAACACAUGCAAGUCGAGGGGUAGAGUUCUUCGGGACUUGAGACCGGCGCACGGGUGCGUAACGCGUAUGCAAUCUACCUUAUACAGGGGAAUAGCCCAGAGAAAUUUGGAUUAAUGCCCCAUAGUGUUAUUGAAUCGCAUGGUUUAAUAACUAAAGUUCCAACGGUAUAAGAUGAGCAUGCGUCCCAUUAGUUAGUUGGUAAGGUAACGGCUUACCAAGACAAUGAUGGGUAGGGGUCCUGAGAGGGAGAUCCCCCACACUGGUACUGAGACACGGACCAGACUCCUACGGGAGGCAGCAGUGAGGAAUAUUGGACAAUGGGCGCAAGCCUGAUCCAGCCAUGCCGCGUGCAGGAAGAAGCAUCUAUGGUGUGUAAACUGCUUUUGUACGGGAAGAAACACUCCUUCGUGAAGGAGCUUGACGGUACCGUAAGAAUAAGGAUCGGCUAACUCCGUG